AGAGUUUGAUCCUGGCUCAGGACGAACGCUGGCGGCGUGCUUAACACAUGCAAGUCGAACGAUGAUGCCCAGCUUGCUGGGCGGAUUAGUGGCGAACGGGUGAGUAAUACGUGAGUAACCUGCCCUUGACUCUGGGAUAAGCCUGGGAAACUGGGUCUAAUACUGGAUACUACCUCUUACCGCAUGGUGGGUGGUGGAAAGGGUUUUACUGGUUUUGGAUGGGCUCACGGCCUAUCAGCUUGUUGGUGGGGUAAUGGCUCACCAAGGCGACGACGGGUAGCCGGCCUGAGAGGGUGACCGGCCACACUGGGACUGAGACACGGCCCAGACUCCUACGGGAGGCAGCAGUGGGGAAUAUUGCACAAUGGGCGGAAGCCUGAUGCAGCGACGCCGCGUGAGGGAUGACGGCCUUCGGGUUGUAAACCUCUUUCAGUAGGGAAGAAGCGAGAGUGACGGUACCUGCAGAAGAAGCGCCGGCUAACUACGUGCCAGCAGCCGCGGUAAUACGUAGGGCGCAAGCGUUGUCCGGAAUUAUUGGGCGUAAAGAGCUCGUAGGCGGUUUGUCGCGUCUGCUGUGAAAGCCCGGGGCUCAACCCCGGGUCUGCAGUGGGUACGGGCAGACUAGAGUGCAGUGGGGGAGACUGGAAUUCCUGGUGUAGCGGUGAAAUGCGCAGAUAUCAGGAGGAACACCGAUGGCGAAGGCAGGUCUCUGGGCUGUUACUGACGCUGAGGAGCGAAAGCAUGGGGAGCGAACAGGAUUAGAUACCCUGGUAGUCCAUGCCGUAAACGUUGGGCACUAGGUGUGGGGGACAUUCCACGUUUUCCGCGCCGUAGCUAACGCAUUAAGUGCCCCGCCUGGGGAGUACGGCCGCAAGGCUAAAACUCAAAGGAAUUGACGGGGGCCCGCACAAGCGGCGGAGCAUGCGGAUUAAUUCGAUGCAACGCGAAGAAYCUUACCAAGGCUUGACAUUCACCGGACCGCCCCAGAGAUGGGGUUUCCCUUCGGGGCUGGUGGACAUGGUGGUGCAUGGUUGUCGUCAGCUCGUGUCGUGAGAUGUUGGGUUAAGUCCCGCAACGAGCGCAACCCUCGUUCUAUGUUGCCAGCACGUGAUGGUGGGGACUCAUAGGAGACUGCCGGGGUCAACUCGGAGGAAGGUGGGGAUGACGUCAAAUCAUCAUGCCCCUUAUGUCUUGGGCUUCACGCAUGCUACAAUGGCCGGUACAAAGGGUUGCGAUACUGUGAGGUGGAGCUAAUCCCAAAAAGCCGGUCUCAGUUCGGAUUGAGGUCUGCAACUCGACCUCAUGAAGUCGGAGUCGCUAGUAAUCGCAGAUCAGCAACGCUGCGGUGAAUACGUUCCCGGGCCUUGUACACACCGCCCGUCAAGUCACGAAAGUUGGUAACACCCGAAGCCGGUGGCCUAACCCCUUGUGGGAGGGAGCCGUCGAAGGUGGGACUGGCGAUUGGGACUAAGUCGUAACAAGGUAACCGUA
rnacentral:rRNA from 2 species